rnacentral:rRNA from 1 species
AAGUCGAGCGGCAGGGUGCAGCAAUGCGCCUGAGAGCGGCGGACUGGUGAGUAGCGCGUGGGUAACCUACCCUUGGGAUGGGGAUAGCCAUUAGAAAUAGUGGGUAAUACCGAAUACGGUUGCGAGGCAGGGGUUUUGCAACGAAAGGGGCUCCGGCUCCGCCCGGGGAUGGGCCCGCGUUCCAUUAGCUAGUUGGUGGGGUAAGGGCCUACCAAGGCGAUGAUGGGUAGCCGGCCUGAGAGGGUGAACGGCCACACUGGGACUGAGAUACGGCCCAGACUCCUACGGGAGGCAGCAGCUAAGAAUAUUCCGCAAUGGACGAAAGUCUGACGGAGCGACGCCGCGUGGAUGAAGAAGGCCGAAAGGUUGUAAAGUUCUUUUGUUGCUGAAGAAUAAGCGGGGGAGGGAAUGCCCUCGUGAUGACGUUAGGCGACGAAUAAGCCCCGGCUAAUUACGUGCCAGCAGCCGCGGUAACACGUAAGGGGCGAGCGUUGUUCGGAAUUAUUGGGCGUAAAGGGCGCGUAGGCGGUUAUGUAAGCCUGGCGUGAAAUGGUAGGGCUUAACCCUAUCACGGCGUUGGGAACUGUGUAACUUGAGUCAUGGAGGGGGAGUUGGGAUUCCGCGUGUAGGGGUGAAAUCUGUAGAUAUGCGGAAGAACACCGGUGGCGAAGGCGAACUUCUAGCCAAUGACUGACGCUGAGGCGCGAA